GAGUUUGAUCCUGGCUCACGACGAACGCUGGCGGCGUGCCUAAUACAUGCAAGUCGAGCGAGCUUGCCUAGAUGAUUUUAGUGCUUGCACUAAAUGAAACUAGAUACAAGCGAGCGGCGGACGGGUGAGUAACACGUGGGUAACCUGCCCAAGAGACUGGGAUAACACCUGGAAACAGAUGCUAAUACCGGAUAACAACACUAGACGCAUGUCUAGAGUUUGAAAGAUGGUUCUGCUAUCACUCUUGGAUGGACCUGCGGUGCAUUAGCUAGUUGGUAAGGUAACGGCUUACCAAGGCAAUGAUGCAUAGCCGAGUUGAGAGACUGAUCGGCCACAUUGGGACUGAGACACGGCCCAAACUCCUACGGGAGGCAGCAGUAGGGAAUCUUCCACAAUGGACGAAAGUCUGAUGGAGCAACACCGCGUGAGUGAAGAAGGGUUUCGGCUCGUAAAGCUCUGUCGUUAGAGAAGAACGUGCGUGAGAGCAACUGUUCACGCAGUGACGGUAUCUA
rnacentral:rRNA from 1 species